rnacentral:rRNA from 1 species
GACGAACGCUGGCGGCGUGCUUAAUACAUGCAAGUCGAACGGAAAGGCCCGGAGUUUGUGGGUUGCACGAGAGCCGAACGGGGGAGUAACACGUGAGUAACACGCCCUUGACAGUGGGAGAACUUUAGGAAAAUGGGGCUAAUAUAGGGGAGAAGCUCCUGCUGCGCGGGGGGGGUUGGAAAGUUUCGGCGGUGGUGGAUGGACUAGAGGCUUAUCAGCUUGUUGGUGGGGUAGUGGCUUACCAAGGCUUUGACGGGUAGCCGGCCUGAGAGGGUGACCGGCCACAUUGGGACUGAGAUACGGCCCAGACUCCUACGGGAGGCAGCAGUGGGGAAUAUUGCACAAUGGGCGGAAGCCUGAUGCAGCAACGCCGCGUGCGGGAUGACGGCCUUCGGGUUGUAAACCGCUUUCGCCUGUGACGAAGCGUGAGUGACGGUAAUGGGUAAAGAAGCACCGGCUAACUACGUG